AGAGCAACCCAGAUCUGCAAUUUUAAAGGAGUUUGAAGAUGACAAGAUGUCUAUGUUGAGUGUUUCUACAAUUGCCCUUUUUACAAGUUCUUUGGCUGCAUCCACAACUCCUCUCUGCAAAAGCCAAGAUUGAGUGGAAAUGCAGUGAACUAUCUGACUCAAUAUAAGAAGAAUUGUGAGGGUUCAUAACUUCAUAUAAUUAGACAGAAUUAAAGGAAAAGAGUAUUUACUAUCUUGAUUUUAUUCCAUGCUAUAGCAUUCUUACAUCCUAGAAGGCUAGAAGUGACUGAAAAGCUUUGGAAAAAGAAGAAAUUAACCUGCACAAUGGAGUUCUUGGCAUAGCUGUUGGGGCCAUCUCCACCUUCCAUUGGAUGUGCUUCAAAUACAUUACUGGUAUCAUCUGCUGCCAUCUCUCUCUCUCUCUCUCUGUGUUACAAUUGGUGCUAAUCUAUGUAUGGCGAUUUGUGUUGUGGGUACAUUGUUAUUAUAUCUGCUACAGCUACUUGAUGCAAUGCAAGAAAAACUGAUCUACUCUUAUUUUUUAUGGCAUUUUGUAUUGUGAAAAACCAUUUAGUCUUCUGCUACAGCUACUUGAUGCCAUAAUCCAGUAAUCCAAAGACAAAAUGUUAAAUAAAAAAAGAGGAAGUCAAUAGAGAACGUCCAUGGUGAUGAUGCUAAUUGUUUGUCUUUUCUGUUCAUACUUAUUCUUUCCAUUCCAGCUUUCAUGGUAGAGACAAACACUGAAGCAUCAAUUACCUUUCAUAAUUGCUUUGUGUAUUGAUAGAUGAAAGUAAUCAGACUUUUAAUUUACUGAUGAUACUUGGUCAGAAAAAAUAAAAACUCAUAUACCAGCUUAAGCAGCAUAACAUAACUUCAGUGAUGCUUAGUAGAGUUGUAUUAGAGCUCAAAGCAUAAAAGAACAUACAGUAUAAGAAAGCCCCCUUAAAGUACAGGCAAUCGUGUUUUGAGUCGAAGGUUCUCAAACGUGAUCUGAAUUUGUGUACCAUUCUCUCACACAUUAUUAUAAGUUCACACUGCAGCAAUUUAACAUGUCACUUAGGCAUAUUACAAAUAAAACAUAAUCAUCAAGUUCAAGUUCACAAACCACAAGUACUGAAACAGCAUGUCCAAGUCAAUCCACCUUGCGUCUAAGCACAACCAGAAAGUUGACUGAUUUCUCUGGAUCAAGUCUGGAGUCAUGCUCUUCACAUUUUUUGCGAAACAAAUUAAAGAGCUCGUCUAAGAUUUCUUCUCCAAAUUGCUGCUUGAGGAGGUCCCCCUCCAUGCCAGCUCUCACGUGAGAGGCAAGUAGCUGUGCCUUUAAGACAGGGUCAUGUACCAAGGGAAGAGCUUUACCUUUGUGACCAAGUCCUGGAUGGAAGAUCCUAAAAGUUGGAAGAUCACAUUUGGAGGAGCAUCAGAAUGUGGGGUGCCAUCGAGGCGGCCUGGAAAGGACUGCUACUAUCCAUCACUGCUUUCGGAACUCUUGAAAGCCAUGGAAUGGCAUAAGAAGAGUGAGCAAUGUGAAUGGAAGCAUUAGGAAAUAACCGGCCAUAGAAAGAACCUGACACACCAGCUGCAUAGUAUCGCUUGUU